GGGCGCAUAGCUCAGUGGUAGAGCGCGAAUUUGACGUAUUCGAGGCCCAAGGUUCGAUCCCUUGUGCGCCCA
rnacentral:tRNA from 4 species